CUUAGUGGCGAACGGGUGAGUAACGCGUGAGUAACCUGCCCUGGAGUGGGGGACAACAGUUGGAAACGACUGCUAAUACCGCAUAAGCCCACGGCCCGGCAUCGGGCUGAGGGAAAAGGAUUUAUUCGCUUCAGGAUGGACUCGCGUCCAAUUAGCUAGUUGGUGAGGUAACGGCCCACCAAGGCGACGAUUGGUAGCCGGACUGAGCGGUUGAACGGCCACAUUGGGACUGAGACACGGCCCAG
rnacentral:rRNA from 1 species